GAUGAACGCUGGCGGCGUGCCUAAUACAUGCAAGUCGAGCGAACGGACGAGAAGCUUGCUUCUCUGAUGUUAGCGGCGGACGGGUGAGUAACACGUGGAUAACCUACCUAUAAGACUGGGAUAACUUCGGGAAACCGGAGCUAAUACCGGAUAAUAUUUUGAACCGCAUUGUUCAAAAGUGAAAGACGGUCUUGCUGUCACUUAUAGAUGGAUCCGCGCUGCAUUAGCUAGUUGGUAAGGUAACGGAUUACCAAGGCAACGAUGCAUAGCCGACCUGAGAGGGUGAUCGGCCACACUGGAACUGAGCCACGGUCCAGACUCCUACGGGAGGCAGCAGUAGGGAAUCUUCCGCAAUGGGCGAAAGCCUGACGGAGCAACGCCGCGUGAGUGAUGAAGGUCUUCGGAUCGUAAAACUCUGUUAUUAGGGAAGAACAUAUGUGUAAGUAACUGUGCACAUCUUGACGGUACCUAAUCAGAAAGCCACGGCUAACUACGUG
rnacentral:rRNA from 1 species